UUCUGCUGUAAUGAAGUUCGGCUCAUCAGGCAGUGGUUCGAGAUGGGCUACCCUCUUGCGAAGCUCACUUAUCAGUUGUUGCUUGUCGGCCAUGAUGUUGAGGGAGGGAUGGCACCCACAACUUUGUAGUCGACGUCAAAGUGACGCAGAGAUAUAACGUCACAGUGACGCAGAGAUAUGACGUCAAAGUGAUGUAGAGAUAUGACGUCAAUGCUUCCGAUACACGAGGAUCAUGGAAGUCCAAAGUUUCUCGGAUCCUGUCAACGAUAAGAAAAAGUCUUUCUUUGGCAGUGUUCAGCAGUCAGGAGAGAUGAAGAAAACGAUGAAGAUGAGACCCGCAGGAUCUCGCCCACCAGGCUGUUUGUGAAAUAGCCCAACUGUUUUGAAUUCAUCCAUCCAGCCUCACAAACAGUGGUGGACUGAGGAUUUGUUGACGAAGCAAAAUCCGUGGACUACCCACCCCGAUCGGUCCCCAUCAGCUGGAAUGCUUCUCGGCAUUGCCCCCAGACAAUCUAAUUCGUCAAGUAGUUGGCAAGAAUGAGGAAAGCACGAGAAGUUAGAGGAUGCGAGUGUCUUAUGACACACACGUCACUUAUUUCGCACAGUUCAUCGACAUCCUUUAACGACGAGCAUCACCGGGGGACAUGAUGAACCACAUUCAGGCCUGAACCUUCAUCCCUAAGAUCGUUUCAUAAGGCUUCCGGCAGACGGGAUGUCUAAUCAGUGCCCGCUACAUCCAGACGACCGCGUGCUCUCAUCUCUCCGCAGCUUAUCGCUCGACUCGUCGAACGUGUGGCGUGACAUCCGGUGACGUCACAUGCAUCUUGCGUGGGGUCCGAGCGACAGGGAAAUCGGUGUGACAUUUGACCUGCGUGACCUGGUGGACAGGUUCGUGGUGACAAACAGGAGGUUAUUCGAUCAAUGCACGAACUACGCGGCUGGUUUUCUGUCAAGUGAAUAAAAGCGGCAUGACUCAUGGCGGAGAAUAUGUAUAUAAACACGGCUUGCAACAGA